AUGCACUCGUGGUUAACUGAUAACUGCAGCGGAAACAAAGUAAUAUCAGCACCACAUCAUGUACUAACUCAAGGAUCGUUGCUUAGCACGAAAAGAAAUAUAUGCAACAGCAUAUAUGGAGGCAGAAUAUGUUACUCAGCAGGCAAGACACUCCUCAACCUAGUGUCUUGUGGUAGGAGUAAGUUUGGCCAGCAGCAAGCAUCAACAAAGAGACACCAGAUUUUUACGUCGAAAACCCCUCAACUUGAGGGGAAAAACCACGGGCCGAAGCCACCGAAAUCCUUUUCCACUAUUGUCAAAUGUGGGAUACAACAAGUUCUUCUCUAG
rnacentral:rRNA from 1 species